AACGAACGCUGGCGGCAGGCCUAAUACAUGCAAGUCGAGCGAGAAGCCACCUUCGGGUGGUGGGCAGCGGCGGACGGGUGAGUAACGCGUGGGAAGAUACCCAAAGGUACGGAACAACCACUGGAAACGGUGGCUAUUACCGUAUGUGCCCUAAGGGGGAAAGAUUUAUUGCCUUUGGAUUUGCCCGCGUAUGAUUAGAUAGUUGGUAGAGUAAUGGCCUACCAAGUCAACGAUCAUUAGCUGGUCUGAGAGGAUGAUCAGCCACACUGGGACUGAGACACGGCCCAG
rnacentral:rRNA from 1 species